UACGUAGGGUGCGAGCGUUGUCCGGAAUUAUUGGGCGUAAAGAGCUCGUAGGCGGUGUGUCACGUCGUUCGUGAAAACCUGCAGCUUAACUGUGGGCGUGCGGUCGAUACGGGCAUCACUGGAGUUCGGCAGGGGAGACUGGAAUUCCUAGUGUAGCGGUGAAAUGCGCAGAUAUCAGGAGGAACACCGAUUGCGAAGGCAGCUCGCUGGGACGUAACUGACGCUGAGACGCGAAAGCGUGGGGAGCAAACAGG
rnacentral:rRNA from 1 species